rnacentral:lncRNA from 1 species
AAAGAAAGAAAGAAAGAAAGAAAGAAAGAAAGAAAGAAAGAAAGAAAGCAAACAAAGGAAGGAAGGAAGGAAGGAAGGAAGGAAGGAAGGAAGGAAGGAAGGAAGGAAGGAAGGAAAGAGGGCAUUGCUUCAAAUCUGUUGGAGAUAUGUAAUUUAAAAAUCUCAUUGGAUAUUUCUAAUACACUACUAAUGAUACCUUAGAAACUGGCUCAAUGAUAGAGGGAUUUCUAAGCAGUGUAAUUUCUACAUUCGAUGAACAGCUCCAUGAAUAUGCAAUAUAAAGAAUGAUUGCAGCUAACAUUGUUUCUAAUAAGGCUUAUUCCAAUCUCUGGGUUGCUUUUAAUAAUCACAUAGUCAUUCAGAAGAUUUGUUCUCCUGCUCCAUUUUGAAGGCUGUUCUGUGCUUCAUAAAAUCAGUUCAUAUAAAACCACUGAGUUGAUUUUUCAUUUUGCCUUUUCUGGAUACCUAGGGAUACAAUUGCAACUUGUCAUUUAUUCUAUAUGCAUUUUUGAAAGAUAACAUUUUUUUGUAUUUUGGGGCUGUUGUAAAUAAAAUGCUGUAAUUACAUAGCUUAUAAACAACAAACAACUGUCACAUCCCAACCUAGAGGCUGAGAAGGCCAAGUAGAGCCAGCAGAGGUGGGUUCUAGUGUGAGCACACACUUCCUGCCUCACAGAUGAUGGUCUUGCUGUGCUUUCUCCUGUCAGAUGGGCAAAGGAUGUUCUUGGAGGCCUCUUUUAUGAGCACAAUAAGCCAAACCUGAGAGUCAGAGCCCUCAAUGUGAGCCCUUCACACAGGCUCCGCCACCACACACCCCCGUCUUGUGACUAAAUCUCAACAUAAUGGACUGGGAGAGUGGAUGGCACAAGGGUUCUGACUGUCACACCUGGGUGCGUGUCAUUCAAUAAGAGCAAUGAUGACUUGUUCCACCUAGAAAGUGCUCUGAAUAGAGAGGCAUCUCAAUGCAAUUUCUUCACCAUUACUCACUCAUCUUUUUGUGAUAUCACUUUCCUUUAUUAUCCAGAAACAUAAGUGGAGGAGGGAGAGCUACAGGGCAUGGAUCCACAGAAGAGGAAGUAGGAUAUCACUGUGAUAUAUUCUUUGUUUGUUUGUUUGUUUGUUUGUUUGUUUGUUUGAACUGAGUGUCAGAGAUCCUAGCAGGGUUCUACUCUAUGGACUGGAUGCCUCUUCUGUGAGGUCUUGAAUUCAUGGAAGUGAUUAAAAUCUGAUUUGGAUAGAUUAGCAUAUCUCAGAGAUUUCUAAUUAACUGAGAUUCUCUUCCCCUUGUCUUUUUUUCUCCCUCUUUCUUUUCAUUUUCAUUUUCAUUUUUUUUCUUGCCUUGAUUUUUGUUUUUAUUAAGUCAUUUUUUUUCUUUGUUAGGCAGAAUCUCACAUCAUAACCCCAAAUGACCUGUUACUCACCAUGUGGCCCAGCUGUCUUCAAACUCACCAGCCUCCUGCCUUAGCCUUCUAAAUGCUUGGAUUACAGGCAUGACCCACCAUAACUGGCUUUGUUUUAGUUUCAGAGAAGAUGAAACUGAUGUGCGUCAAAAAGUUAUGGAGGCUGGGAAGACCUAGAAUGUGGCAUCACUAUUUGGUAAGAACCUUCCUAUGUCAUUGUAGAGUGAGGGACUUGGGUACCACAUGGCAAGGCAUAGUACCCAAAUCCCUUUCCUUCAUAAAAGUAUUAAUGUCAUCAAAGAGGCCCCACCACCAUGAUGCCAUCUGGGGCCUCAUGACCCCAAUGCCUGAUGCCAAAGACUCCCACCUCAAAAUACUUUUUUCUUCAGCAUAACAUUUUAUUAAUUAUCUGGGAAUUUCACAUCAUGUACUCCAAUCACACUCAGUUCCCAGUCCUUCCAUGUCAGCCCCCACCCUUGUUACUUGCCCCCCAAAAGAGGAAAAUUAAAACUAAGAAUUAAAAAAAAUUAAAAAAAUUAAAAUACACAAGUCCAAUUUAUGUUACCUAUAUACUCACUGAAGCAUGGUCAGAUUCUCAGUGGCCUGGCCCUUAAAUAGAAGUGAGUCUUCCCCCUCCUGCAUCUGAAGCCAUUAAUUGCGUAGAGCUACACUUCAACAUCUACAUCACACUUUCAAAGAGUUCUCUUCAGUGGAUUCCUGUUCUAGACCAUUACUUUGGAGACAGGGGUAGGGGAUUGUCACAAAAAGCCUUCCAUGUCCCUUCGUCUCAGUUGUACACCUGCAGUCAUCAAUAUCCCAGUGUAACUAGUCCCCUUGUUCUUCAUAGUUAGUGGAAACAUGGAUCAUGGGCCUCUCAAGGUUUCUGAUAACAUCCCAGACCAUGAACAUGGCCCUCAGGUGCAGGAGGACCACAGAUCCAGACAAAGACCAGAUCACAGCCAUAAAAAUAGCCUCAGGUGGCAGCAAAGGCCACUCAGAUUAGUAUGGCCUUUGGUGGCAGCACUAUCCAUAAACAUCAACGUAGCUUCAGGCAGCAGCACAGACUGUGAACAUCUCAUGGUCUUCAGUGGUAACACAAGCCAUGGAUAUCUACCUACAGCAGAACCAUAUAUAGAUUUGAUAAGUUUCCACACAUGAACCCAGGACACAUUUAAAUCAUGGCAGUCUACAUCCUGAUCCUUCCCUUGUC